UACAGAGGUCUCAAGCGUUGUUCGGAUUCAUUGGGCGUAAAGGGUGCGUAGGUGGCGAGGUAAGUCUGGUGUGAAAUCUCGGGGCUCAACCCCGAAACUGCACUGGAUACUGCCGUGCUUGAGGACUGGAGAGGAGACUGGAAUUUACGGUGUAGCGGUGAAAUGCGUAGAUAUCGUAAGGAAGACCAGUGGCGAAGGCGGGUCGCUGGACAGCUCCGACGCUGAGGCACGAAGGUCAGGGGAGCAAACGGG
rnacentral:rRNA from 1 species